UACGGGGGGGGGCAAGCGUUGUUCGGAAUUACUGGGCGUAAAGCGCACGUAGUCGGCUUUGCAAGUCGGGUGUGAAAUCCCCGGGCUCAACCUGGGAACUGCAUCCGAGACUGCAUUGCUAGAGUAUGGGAGAGGGAAGCGGAAUUUCUGGUGUAGCAGUGAAAUGCGUAGAUAUCAGAAGGAACAUCAGUGGCGAAGGCGGCUUCCUGGACCAAUACUGACGAUCAGGUGCGAAAGCGUGGGGAGCAAACAGG
rnacentral:rRNA from 1 species